rnacentral:rRNA from 1 species
GACGAACGCUGGCGGCGUGCUUAACACAUGCAAGUCGAACGGAAAGGCCCUGCUUUUGUGGGGUGCUCGAGUGGCGAACGGGUGAGUAACACGUGAGUAACCUGCCCUUGACUUUGGGAUAACUUCAGGAAACUGGGGCUAAUACCGGAUAGGAGCUCCUGCUGCAUGGUGGGGGUUGGAAAGUUUCGGCGGUUGGGGAUGGACUCGCGGCUUAUCAGCUUGUUGGUGGGGUAGUGGCUUACCAAGGCUUUGACGGGUAGCCGGCCUGAGAGGGUGACCGGCCACAUUGGGACUGAGAAACGGCUCAGACUCCUACGGGAGGCAGCAGUGGGGAAUAUUGCACAAUGGGCGGAAGCCUGAUGCAGCAACGCCGCGUGCGGGAUGACGGCCUUCGGGUUGUAAACCGCUUUCGCCUGUGACGAAGCGUGAGUGACGGUAAUGGGUAAAGAAGCACCGGCUAACUACGU